UACGGGGGGGGCAAGCGUUGUUCGGAAUUACUGGGCGUAAAGGGCUCGUAGGCGGCCAACUAAGUCAUACGUGAAAUCCCUCGGCUUAACCUGGGAAUGGCAUUUGGGACUGCAAGGCUUGAGUUUGGCAGAGGAGACUGGAAUUCCUGGUGUAGCAGUGAAAUGCGUAGAUAUCAGGAGGAAUACCGAUGGCGAAGGCAGGUCUCUGGGCUGAAACUGACGCUCAUGCACGAAAGCGUGGGGAGCAAACAGG
rnacentral:rRNA from 1 species